rnacentral:lncRNA from 1 species
AGCUUUCAUCACUUGAUGAAUCACUUUCUCUUUCCCAAGUAACAUAAAAUCUUAUAGACUUGCUAGAUCUCUUUUGAUAACCUUUCUCAUUUUCUUUCUUAAUAUUAGAAUACUCUGGCUUAUAAUGAUCUGUUUUCCCAUAAUUGUAGCAUGAACUUCUAAUCCUGCCUUUCUUAUUCUCAUAUUCUUUUGAGGAGUUUGACAAUGUUCUAGAUUUACUAUGGUUCUUUUCGGAGUACUUAUUUCCUUGUUCC